CAGUGCAAUCCAAGUAAAAGAGUGCAAUCAUUGGUGGUGUUGUGGAAUAAUGUGCGCCAUAUUGUGGGUGAACAAACAAAAACAAACAAUUUUGAGCACACUUGCCUCACAAACACCUGUCAAGAUAGACACUUUAAUUGUGUAGAUUACCAGAUAACAGAACAUUUACAAGAAGAGGGAGGGAGAAUCAUCAACACUGCCACAUUGCCUCACACACAUGCACACUCUCUUGCUCUCUCUCUCUCUCUCUCUCUCUCUCUCUCUCUCUCUCUCUCUCUCUCUCUCUCUCUCUCUCUCUCUCUCUCUCUCUCUCUCUAUCUCUCUCGCAUCCUGUGGCUGGUUUAUUUUUAGAUUUUCACAUCCUCUCCUUGCCAUCCCAGCACAGCAGACACAUCACUUGUCGGCACCGCAUGGAGCUUCACACAACUGCAUACACCGUGAGCAGCUGGACACCUACCGGCAGGUGGAACGCCGUCUCCACAGACUCUGCCACCGGCUGCAAGUUCAGAUACCCAGCCAUUUCAUUCACAAGGACAUCAAGCACGGUUCCUUCUGCCUGUUUCCCUGUGCCCCUAUAUCAUCAGUCUAUCUGGCAACACAACACAUAAGAAAAUACAGCUUGCACUGUUAUUUUUUUAAGUAAACUACACAACUAGUCUGAAAAAUAUAACUAUAUAUUAGUUUGAUCAAAA